AGCGGUGUCGCCAAGCGGUAAGGCAAGAGACUUUGACUCUCUUAUUCGUAUGUUCGAUUCAUACCGCCGCUGCCA
rnacentral:tRNA from 1 species